rnacentral:rRNA from 1 species
UUUAAUAGUAAAUUGAUUAUCAAAGAAGUAUUAGAUAAAAGCUUGAAAUUUAAAGAUUUUGGCGGUAUUUUAGUCUAUUUAGAGGAACCUGUUCUGUAAUUGAUAAUCCACGAUUAAUUAUACUUAUUAUAUAAAUUUGUAUAUCGUUGUUUAUAAAUAUUUUAAAAGAAUGGAAAUUUUUAAAAUUUUAUAUAAAAAAAUAAUUCAAAUCAAGGUGCAGUAAAUUAUUAAGAAGAAAUGGGUUACAAUAAAUUUAUUUAUAUGGAAAUUAAUAUGAAAAAUUUUUUUGAAGGAGGAUUUAAAAGUAAUAAAAUUUAAUUAAAUUUUAUGAUUUAAGCUCUAAAAUGUGU